rnacentral:rRNA from 1 species
AUGAACGCUGGCGGCGUGCCUAAUACAUGCAAGUCGAGCGAACAGACGAGGAGCUUGCUCCUCUGACGUUAGCGGCGGACGGGUGAGUAACACGUGGAUAACCUACCUAUAAGACUGGGAUAACUUCGGGAAACCGGAGCUAAUACCGGAUAAUAUAUUGAACCGCAUGGUUCAAUAGUGAAAGACGGUUUUGCUGUCACUUAUAGAUGGAUCCGCGCCGCAUUAGCUAGUUGGUAAGGUAACGGCUUACCAAGGCAACGAUGCGUAGCCGACCUGAGAGGUUGAUCGGCCACACUGGAACUGAGACACGGUCCAGACUCCUACGGGAGGCAGCAGUAGGGAAUCUUCCGCAAUGGGCGAAAGCCUGACGGAGCAACGCCGCGUGAGUGAUGAAGGUCUUCGGAUCGUAAAACUCUGUUAUUAGGGAAGAACAAAUGUGUAAGUAACUAUGCACGUCUUGACGGUACCUAAUCAGAAAGCCACGGCUAACUACGUG